UUUGUGCGGCGCCAGCUGGCCCGGUAGCCUGCGGCGCAGAGAGGCUGGGCUUAUAGGCGCAGUAGCUCCAGAGGUCGCGCUGGGCUGAGAGUGCGGGCCGGCAGAGGCUGGCGGGGAGCAGCCGGGGUUAUGCUGGGCAAGGAUUACAUGCUGGCCAUCAUUCUGGUCAACUGCGAUGAUGACUUGUGGGGGGACCACAGUCUGGAGGGGGAGGCUGGCCUGCCUCCUGGCUGGAGGAAGAUCCACGAUGCUGCAGGUACUUACUACUGGCAUAUACCCAGCGGUAGCACCCAGUGGCAGCGCCCAACCUGGGAACUAGGAGAUGCAGAGGACCCAGGCACGGUAGGUGGAGUGUGAGGAGGAGGUCUGAGCCCGUGUGUGGACCUAGGUCUGCUGUUAAACUGACUAACUCCCACUCUACAGGGAACGGAGGGGAUCUGGGGACUGCGACCCCCCAAAGGGAGAUCCUUCUCCAGCCUGGAGAGUUCACUGGACCGGAGGUAACGGGUGGCCCAGGCAAAAUGAAAGGCUUGGGGUUCCAUGGUGUUCAAAAACGCAGC
rnacentral:sRNA from 1 species